UCCAUCCAUUUUGGCUACAUUUCUGUUUUUUAGCUAUUGUUUUUUUUAUAAUGCUUUAAUCUGAAACAAGUAUUAGGAUUAGCAGACUCUGAGAUAAUCACUGCCCACAGCAUCUUUUGAUCAUCCAACCUGACAAGGCUGGACCAAGACCGUCAAGGAGAGGGGAGGUCCAGGAUGGGAGCCAUGCCAAUGGAGCUUGGAUUUAAUGCUGCCGGCUAAAUGUUGGUCACAGGAAAUGACAAGGGGGACUCAGGCUUGCCAUGCAAUGGGAAAGACUGCUGUACCCACAUUCUUACAGAGACCUGUGUUCAUCACAUCAUUACAGAUCAACCAGUGGGAAACUGUUGCAGACCUCGCAGACAGAGAGCGGGACGAGCUGUGACUUGAUUGGCCCUGCUGGCUGCAUCAUUGUCGUCAUGGGAUUAUCUGUCACCACUCCUCAAUAUGCUUAGAAAGGCCAUGGUUGGGUGACUGGCAGGAAGGCCACUGGUGAGCUUCUUUUUUGUCUCAGCACCCAUUGAUCCACUUGUGCCGCCUCCAUCAGCACUGACAGCCACACGCAGGCCAGAGUGAAACCCUGUACGAGUCCGAUAAGCCUCUGCAGCAAUGCUGACAGCACCCAUACAAGACAACCUCUGGAUAUGACACUGAGCAUGUGCACUCAACUUCUUUGGUCGACCAUAGCGAGGCCUGUUCUGAGUGGAACCUGAGCACAUGAUAACAGGGACAGCCACAACCAUUCCAGAAUCUCAUGUUGCAGGAUAGUCAAAACAGGAAGUACCAAAGACGCACAAAACUGUCCUACAUCACGAGACUGGACUGGUUUUGGCUCUCUUCGUUGGGAUGUAGCUGAGCUGGCUGAGGUCAUCUUUAAUUAACCCCAUCUGUGUAUGUUGUUGCCAGAGUACACACUAAGGAAGGGCAACUUCCCCAAAAGGUUCGUCUGUGUCAAUAUUAAAAAGUCAAAUUAGAGAGCUGUCCUGCUUUGCCUUUUUUUUUUUUUAUUAUUUGCUAAUUUAAAGAACAAGCCCCUAUUCUUCAAAGUCUAAUCAUGAUUUGAGCAUGUUCUGAGUGGAACCUGUCCUGUUAAACCGCUGUAUGGUCUUGGCCACCGUGCUGCAGCUCAGUUUCAAGGUGUUGGCAGUCUUCUUACGGCCUAGGCCAUCUUUUUUUUCAGAUCCUCAGAGAGUUCUUUGCCUUGAGGUGCUAUGUUGAACUUCCAGUGAUCAGUAUAAGACCAAAAUUUAACACACCUGCUUCCCAUUCACACCUGAGACCUUGCAACACUAACGACUCACAUAACACCGGGGAGGAAAAAUGGCUAAUUGGGCCCAAUGUGGACGUUAUCAGUUAGAGGUGUACUCACUUUUG